GACGAACGCUGGCGGCGUGCUUAACACAUGCAAGUCGAGCGGUAAGGCCCUUCGGGUACACGAGCGCGAACGGGUGAGUAACACGUGGGUGACCUGCCUCUAGCUCUGGGAUAAGCCUGGGAAACUGGGUCUAAUACCGGAUAUGACUCCACGGCGCAUGUUGUGGGGUGGAAAGCCUUGUGUGGCUAGAGAUGGGCCCGCGGCCUAUCAGCUUGUUGGUGGGGUGAUGGCCACCAAGGCGACGACGGGUAGCCGGCCUGAGAGGCGACCGGCCACACUGGGACUGAGACACGGCCCAGACUCCUACGGGAGGCAGCAGUGGGAAUCUUGCGCAAUGGGCGAAAGCCUGACGCAGCGACGCCGCGUGAGGGAUGACGGCCU
rnacentral:rRNA from 1 species